rnacentral:rRNA from 1 species
UACGGGGGGAGCAAGCGUUGUUCGGAUUUACUGGGCGUAAAGGGCGCGUAGGCGGCCACCGCAAGUCGGUUGUGAAAUCUCUGGGCUUAACCCAGAAAGGUCAACCGAUACUGCGGGGCUAGAGUGCAGAAGGGGCAACUGGAAUUCUCGGUGUAGCGGUGAAAUGCGCAGAUAUCAGGAGGAACACCGAUUGCGAAGGCAGCUCGCUGGGACGUAACUGACGCUGAGACGCGAAAGCGUGGGGAGCAAACAGG